rnacentral:rRNA from 1 species
GAAGAUGCAGUGUACCCGCGGCAAGACGGAAAGACCCCGUGAACCUUUACUAUAGCUUGACACUGAACAUUGAGCCUUGAUGUGUAGGAUAGGUGGGAGGCUUUGAAGUGUGGACGCCAGUCUGCAUGGAGCCGACCUUGAAAUACCACCCUUUAAUGUUUGAUGUUCUAACGUGGACCCGUGAUCCGGGUUGCGGACAGUGUCUGGUGGGUAGUUUGACUGGGGCGGUCUCCUCCUAAAGAGUAACGGAGGAGCACGAAGGUUGGCUAAUCCUGGUCGGACAUCAGGAGGUUAGUGCAAUGGCAUAAGCCAGCUUGACUGCGAGCGUGACGGCGCGAGCAGGUGCGAAAGCAGGUCAUAGUGAUCCGGUGGUUCUGAAUGGAAGGGCCAUCGCUCAACGGAUAAAAGGUACUCCGGGGAUAACAGGCUGAUACCGCCCAAGAGUUCAUAUCGACGGCGGUGUUUGGCACCUCGAUGUCGGCUCAUCACAUCCUGGGGCUGAAGUAGGUCCCAAGGGUAUGGCUGUUCGCCAUUUAAAGUGGUACGCGAGCUGGGUUUAGAACGUCGUGAGACAGUUCGGUCCCUAUCUGCCGUGGGCGCUGGAGAACUGAGGGGGGCUGCUCCUAGUACGAGAGGACCGGAGUGGACGCAUCACUGGUGUUCGGGUUGUCAUGCCAAUGGCACUGCCCGGUAGCUAAAUGCGGAAGAGAUAAGUGCUGAAAGCAUCUAAGCACGAAACUUGCCCCGAGAUGAGUUCUCCCUGAGACUUUAGGUCUCCUGAAGGAACGUUGAAGACGACGACGUUGAUAGGCCGGGUGUGUAAGCGCAGCGAUGCGUUGAGCUAACCGGUACUAAUGAACCGUGAGGCUUAACCUUACAACGCCGAAG